CCUGGUGGCUCAGAUGGUAAAGAAUCUGCCUGCAAUGCAGGAGACCUGGGUUCGAUUCCUGGGUCAGGA
rnacentral:tRNA from 1 species